CCGACAUCAAGAAGUAGUCUGAGAUGCACCCAUGAUAGCUGAAUUAAGACGAGGUGGCCAGCAUUUUCAAUCUGUGUGUGGAAUUCAAGGGAUCACUGGAUGGAUGCUCCAUCUGCAAACCUGAUGAAGGCAUUUAGUACCUAUGACUGAGGAUUCUGGCAUUGAUGUCUGCCACGAAUGUGCUCUCCUCUCAAGGGACUGUGCCUAUAUGAAUGAAGACCCUUAGAGCGUCGUGAAG